rnacentral:rRNA from 1 species
UACGUAGGGUCCGAGCGUUUGUCCGGAAUUACUGGGCGUAAAGAGCUCGUAGGUGGUUUGUCGCGUUGUUCGUGAAAACUCACAGCUCAACUGUGGGCGUGCGGGCGAUACGGGCAGACUAGAGUACUGCAGGGGAGACUGGAAUUCCUGGUGUAGCGGUGGAAUGCGCAGAUAUCAGGAGGAACACCGGUGGCGAAGGCGGGUCUCUGGGCCGAUACUGACGCUGAGGAGCGAAAGCGUGGGGGAGCGAACAGG